rnacentral:misc_RNA from 1 species
GAUGAAGAACGCAGUGAAAUGCGAUAAGUAGUGUGAAUUGCAGAAUUCAGUGAAUCAUCGAAUCUUUGAACGCUCAUUGCGCCCCUUGGUAUUCCAUGGGGCAUGCCUGUUCGAGCGUCAUUUGUACCUUCAAGCCUUGCUUGGUGUUGGGUGUUUGUCUCGCCUCUGCGCGCAGACUCGCCUCAAAACAAUUGGCAGCCGGCGUAUUGAUUUCGGAGCGCAGUACAUCUCGCGCUUUGCACUCAGAACGACGACGUCCAAAAGUACAUUUUUACACUCUUGACCUCGGAUCAGGUAGGGAUACCCGCUGAACUUAAGCAUAUCAAUAAGCGGAGGA